rnacentral:rRNA from 1 species
CCAGACUCCUACGGGAGGCAGCAGUGGGGAAUAUUGCACAAUGGGGGGAACCCUGAUGCAGCGACGCCGCGUGAGUGAAGAAGUAUUUCGGUAUGUAAAGCUCUAUCAGCAGGGAAGAAGAUGACGGUACCUGACUAAGAAGCCCCGGCUAACUACGUGCCAGCAGCCGCGGUAAUACGUAGGGAGCAAGCGUUGUCCGGAUUUACUGGGUGUAAAGGGUGCGUAGGCGGCCUUGCAAGUCAGAAGUGAAAUCCAUGGGCUUAACCCGUGAACUGCUUUUGAAACUGUAGGGCUUGAGUGAAGUAGAGGCAGGCGGAAUUCCCGGUGUAGCGGUGAAAUGCGUAGAGAUCGGGAGGAACACCAGUGGCGAAGGCGGCUUACUGGACUGUAACUGACGUUGAGGCUCGAAAGCGUGGGGAGCAAACAGGAUUAGAUACCCUGGUAC